ensembl:lncRNA
UUUAGCUCGGUUUUCCCAUAAAAACAUUUACACACUUCUUAAGCGAAGGCUGAUAAAGGAGGCACUUUGUUAUUCUGUCCGAGGCCUCACCAUGAAAUGAAACCAGAAUUCGACAGACUGCCGGGAAUGAUUAUAUACGAUGCAUGUGACGAGCCGAACUGCCAGAAAAUACUGUAAUGCGAAGAUUAAUCAAGAGAUUUCUGCUGGAAUGUAAUGAUGAGCUCUCUUCAUAUUAUUUUAAAAAGCUUGUUCUGGGUAACAGGUAGGAGCGUACGGAAUCCACAAGUCUGCUGUUUAAUCCAGACGGAAAAUUAAUCAAGUCCCUGAAGAAUAGCCUCUUCCUGAAUAAAUACGUUUAAUAAAUACAAAGACAGGCAACGAAUUCAGAUAUUAUUGCUGUUUAAGCAAUGCGUUAUUACGUUUAUUAUUUAUUCAUUCAUUCAAAUCCAUUAGAACACGUUGCCAUGACCUUUCAUUUCACUUAUUCAGGUGGAGGGUUAAUGAGAUUGAUUAAUGGUUGUAGGAAGUGCAUUAUUAUUACUGUGACAACUGGCUCUCUCUCAUCAUCUACUGGCUCUCUCGUCAUCUACCGGCUCUCUCACGUCAUCUACCGGCUCUCUCUCGUCAUCUACCGGCUCUCUCUC